UUGGUUCACACCACGUGAUUAAAAGGGAACAGAGUGAGAAUCUCUGACAGUCCCGCUGCUGUAGAUUGCCUUUAUACGGCUGGAAUACAACAAUGUCACUGACAACAACGUUCGGGAAGACAUUCCAGCUUGGCAAAAGUCAGAAGACCUGCCGAUGCUAAA
rnacentral:ncRNA from 1 species